UGCUUAAAAGCAUUAGCUCUUGCAAAGAGUGAAGGAUUUAUAGGUUCUGAUUGGUUGUUUGAUGGACCAACAAGUUGUGAGGUCGCAUUCAUUUGAUCAUGGGCAGCCUUGAGUCAAUUGUAUAAUUUAAAUAGAUUAUCCUUAACAUUCUUGGCCAUGUCUUUUGAAAUGUCACUUCCAACCUCAUAAACUUGAUCAAAUGACCACUCAAUAUCUCUGAACUUAAAAUGAGGAUAAAAAAACACUUCAAAAUAUAAUAAAAAUAUUGAUUAGUUUUGUUUACACUGUUCCAAUACUUGUCAUGUUUCUGCAACAUUGAGGCAAAAAUAGAAUUCAAGUUCAAAGUUGUUGCAUUAAGUUCACUUAAUACAAAAGUGAGUGUGCAAUGAAACUUGUUAGGAUGAAGAGAAAACCUUCGUGACAUCAUAGAAAAUCUUCAAAAAGCCAGCAAAAGCUCGAUUUUUUUCCAAUCACUGCAACUAGGACGUCCAAAUGGUAACGACAAGUUACCCAUUCUUGCUUGGUGGAAACAAAACAAACCUUGAUACCUAAUCUUGGCUGCAAUGGUUAAAGAAUUUUUUUGCCACACCAGAUUCAACAGUCGCAUCAGAGAGUGCAUUUAACACAGGAGGAGGAUUUUGGAAUUUUAUUGGAGCUCUUUGAAUCCUGAUAUGACUGAAGGUUUGAUUUGCACUCAAAAUUGGCUGAGACCUUCUUUUACUUAUUUCUAAAACCUUGAUCUCACUGGAGAGUUUGAGGUAUCUAAGAAUGUUAUACCAGUGGAGCAGCUGCUGCUUGUGCUGCUGUGAGAUCAACUCAAUCACAACCUAUAAUUAUAUUUGAUAACAAAUGCUUGCUGCCAUCAUUUCAAGUUGCUUGCUACCAUCAUCUUCGUGUUUGAAAGGGAAUUUUUUUUACUCUUAAUCAUGUUUUGUGCCAGAUUUGUAUGAAGUCUUUAGUGACUCCAACUUAAUUGAAUGUAUCAUUUUUGUUGUGAA